UACGUAGGCAGCAAGCGUUGUUCGGAGUUACUGGGCGUAAAGGGUGUGUAGGCGGUUGCUUAAGUUUGGUGUGAAAUCUCCCGGCUCAACUGGGAGGGUGCGCCGAAUACUGAGUGACUAGAGUGCGGGAGAGGAAAGUGGAAUUCCUGGUGGAGCGGUGAAAUGCGUAGAUAUCAUUUGGAACGCCGAUGGUGAAAACAGGUAGCUGGGAGUGUGCUGACGCUGAGACACGAAAGCCAGGGGAGCAAACGGG
rnacentral:rRNA from 1 species